UGUGGUGGAUUCCUUCGGGUAGUCUAUGCGACUACCAUGGUGAUAACGGGUAACGGAGAAUCAGGGUUCGACUCCGGAGAGGGAGCCUGAGAAACGGCUACCACAUCCAAGGAAGGCAGCAGGCGCGCAAAUUACCCACUCCCAGCUUGGGGAGGUAGUGACGAAAAAUAACGAGACGAUUCUCGUUUGAGAAACGUUAUCGAAAUGAGUACGCUUUACACACGCUAACGAGUAGCAAUUGGAGGGCAAGUCUGGUGCCAGCAGCCGCGGUAAUUCCAGCUCCAAUAGCGUAUAUUAAAGUUGCUGCGGUUAAAACGCUCGUAGUUGAAUUGUGGUCUUAGACAACAGUCCCCCUACAAAGGUGUGGCACGGUUGCUCGAGAUCUUCAUUCGUGGUUGCUGUUGUUGCUCUUCAUUGAGUGUCAAUGGUGCCUCGAGAUUUUACUUUGAAAAAAUUAGAGUGCUCAAAGCAGGUUGUGAUGCCUGAAUAAUGGUGCAUGGAAUAAUAGAAUACGAUCUCGGUUCUAUUUUGUUGGUUUUCGAACCGGAGAUAAUGAUUGAAAGGAACAGACGGGGGCAUUCGUAUUGCUGCGUUAGAGGUGAAAUUCUUGGAUCGCAGCAAGAUGAACAAUUGCGAAAGCAUUUGCCAAGAAUGUUUUCAUUAAUCAAGAACGAAAGUUAGAGGUUCGAAGGCGAUCAGAUACCGCCCUAGUUCUAACGGUAAACUAUGCCAACCAGCGAUUCGCCGAGUUCAUUUAGACUCGGCGAGCAGCUUCCGGGCAACAAGUGUUCGGUUCCGGGGGAGUAUG
rnacentral:ncRNA from 1 species